GUUGCUUAAGGUCCCUAAUGACGAUACACUCUUUAAGAACUUUUUUUUAAAAACGGGUUGGUUUUGUUUGUGUGAUGUGUUCUGAAAUGCAGAAUCGAAUUGUGUUUAUAUAAUACACCCUUUAAUAUUAUUGCUAUUCAUCAUUUGUGUAAGUCUCUUCCUAAUAAUUCAUUGGGUAUUUAACUGAUAUACACUAAAACUUAAGAACAUUUUCAGCAUUAAAUUGCUCCAAAAGUUAGAACGGCCUAUCCUCAACUGAAAAUUAGACGUUCUUAUAAAAGACGUCUUAUAAAAGACGUGUCUAGAUCUAUGUUUUAUGAGAAACUGGCUCGGAAAGUUUUGUGUUUUAAAACGCACCACACCACAGGCUUACCAUCCUAAUGUUGCUAUUGGCAAGCACCGAUAUAGUUCACAGAACGGGAUCUCAGAUUUUUACCUUCUUUCUAUAACACAAACAUUUCUGAAAUUUGUUCUCUGAACUUUUGCGGCUUGCCAAUAACAACAGAAGGAUGGUCAAGCCGUGACCAUACCGCUAUCACACCUAAAGGUUUUGUGUCGGGAUGGGAUGGGUAAUUGCACUUUAAAAUGGGCGUGGUUGCACGCAGAUUGUCUGAGAUAGAAAGGGGUUCCUAUUUAUUUGCAGGGGGCACGGUGACCAGGUGUGUUUACGAGGCUUUCUUAAAAGCAAUUUGAUACAGCAUGUGUUUCUACCAGCCAACACAUAACAGCAUAUUACGUUACAAAACAAAAACACCGGGUUAGAGUAAACUUUAAAUGCUUGUCUUCAAAGGUUAGAAACAAAAAUAAUUAUCGUCCUUUAAUGGACCUCAACAAGAAGUGAAUGUGUUGUGUGGCAAAAUAUGUUAGGGAUAUUGAAAAAAGAAAUAUAUAUUUCACGGUAAAAAAAACAUAGUACUUGACAUAGUGUGAUGUUUCUUAAAAGUGCAUUAUCACACAAUCUACUUAUCUGAUUUCCCAGGAAGAAUAAAUCUUUGAUUGUCAAUGAAACCCGCUAUAAAGCACGUCGUGUCAAGGAUAGCGCACAAGUCGUCAUGGGACGUACAAGGAGUAAAAAAGAACGUGAGGAAAAUGCACGGAAUGAGAGGAUUAGAAUUCAAAAUAUUGCAAAAGCAUUUGUGCUGCUGAAAUUUGUGAUUGGAGUUCCCCAAGAUACCCCACAGAUUCAAACCCUGAGAGAGGCGAGGCAAAAAAUACAAGAACUCAAAGACAAGCUGCAAAAUGGAGACAACGAGCGGAUGGAAGACGACAUCACAUGCCCGAAAGACAAGCUGCACCAUCAUUGACGAGACCCGGGGUAGUGGCUCUUUAAAAAUUGCCCCCAUAGCGGGAAUAACCCACUACUUAAACCUGCAGUGAAUCACAGCAUAGAUCUGAUGAGAGCCAGGGUAGUUUGAACUUGUUGUUUAUUUAAGUCUACAUAGUAUUUUGGAAUCACCUAGCAAGUCAACCAAAAGAAACCCCGAAAAAGCUUCAAUUGAAGUUGUUACAUUUGUGUGAACAAGUACUCCAGUCCUUUGUGCUGUGACAAAAAUCAACAAGUAGCUUGUUGAGGAGGAUUUUCACAAGUAAUGUGCGUUAUCACGAGUCGAGUGUUUGUAGCGAGAUACUGACAAUGAAAGACUGGAUGUCAAUCAACGCUUUGAAUCCAACAAAACCCUGGCGUUCGAUUCCGUUCAGUGACGACAGGCUAAGAUUUCUGCCUGGAUAAACCGACCAUAAUAAGCAAAUAAGAAUGAGAAAAUACAAGAGGAAACGCUGACAAGAACUUCCCCAAGGAUUGCACAAUGCAGAACCAUCGAGGCUCACUUAGAAAAACAAACAAAAAGCAAUCUCAGCAAAUCUACAAACUUUACCAAACUCGAAGAGUCGUCUCUAUUUGUAUUCUUUUCUUUAAUUCUCCCAAAGUGUAAUCGUUUCCGUUCUGAUGCGGGAUGUACUAAAGUUGAAUUUGGGCGGAAAUUGAACAUUACUUUGUAAUCCGAGGUUCCGUUUAUAAAUCUGUUGAAAGUUA